UCCUUUUAUCUGCGGGAUAAAAGUAGCGUGAUUGAUUUAUCUUAUACGGCAUAAAAGUAAGGACUAAAAUUACACAACUGAAUUUAAGGUGUAGAUGUCAAAAUAAGGGUUUAGAAAUUAGAGUGCCAGCACUAGCGGUCACACUCGAAACUCAAGUUAAUAAAACCAGGGGAUCUGGAGGUUAAAAUUAAAUAAAUUAGAGAUUUUUGGUAAAAUAAAAUCUUCGUGAUAUUAAAAUUUAAUGAGGCGGGAAUGAAAAUAAGCUAAAAAACUAGGAUUAGAUACCCUACUAUUCUUACUUGAUACCACUCCCCGAGAGUAAAAACCAGCCCAUAUGGCGGCUAUAAAGCUCAUCAGAGGCCUAUGCAAAAUAAAAAUCGAAAGUGCACGAACAUCUUACCUUCUACAAUCGAGGGUUUUGUACACCGCUGUCGGAAGGUGAUAAGUAAAGUUUUGAUCGUUACUCGCAUGAGCGAAAUAAGACAAGUCAAGGUGCAGACUGUGAGAAGGCAUUUUGUGUAUGCCAAAAACUGGCAAGAUAACUGUCGAUGAAAUUCGACUUUAAGCUAGAAUUUGAAAGUAAGUCCUUUUCGACAUAAAGGUUUGAAAGAGCAAUUUAUAGUGUCCAAAUCGCCCGUCACUCCGAUUUGUAACGGAUAAGUCGUAACAAAGUUGGUCUACCGGAAGGUGGACCAGGAAUUC
rnacentral:ncRNA from 1 species